rnacentral:rRNA from 1 species
GUCUAUGGCCAUACCACCCCGAAUGUGCCCAAUUUCAUCUGAUCUUGGAAGCUAAGCAGGGUCGGGCCUGGUUAGUACUUGGAUGGGAGACUUCCAUGGGAUUCUGUAGAAU